AUGAGAUUCGUGUUCAGGAUGAGGACUAUCCACCUUGCCAUUCACGGCCCCCACGAGAAGAACGCCAGAAGGCCUUCAAGCCCAAGUUGCAGCAGUCCAGUGUACGACCUACCACAGUUUUGCUCAGCUCUGAUCCUGCUCCAAAAUCACCUGAGUCUUCAUUACAAGUUCGACCUCAGGUCAGCUCCAAACUUGAGAAACCUAAGAAGUAUUGCCCCUUCUGCGAUGACAUCCAGCAUUACUUCAAUCAAUUCAGAGUUUAAGAAGUUCUCCACUGAUCAGAGAGUGUCAUGGAUCAAAACUGGGAAGCGCUGCUGGAGAUGUGGUAGAAACCACCUCGCCGCCCAAUGCUACCUCAAAGCUAAGUGUCAGCAGUGUAAUCAGACUCACCUUGACAUACUGCACGAGGUCAACACUCCUGCAACAAAGGCAGCACGUCCAGCCCCAGAGUCUGGACAACCAGCUACCUACUACCUCGAUCCAGAUCUCAGAAGUAGCUGUGUACUGCUGAAAAUGGUCAAAGUUCUCCUCCAUAAUGGUAAACACAGACUAGAGACUUAUGCCAUUCUCGACGAUGGCUCUGAGCACACGAUCUUGCUUCACAGUGCCGCUCAAGAGCUACAUCUCAAGGGACAGAGUGAAGACUUGGCGCUCAGAACUAUCCGUCAAGAUGUGAAGACUAUUUCAGGAAAGUCGGUGUCCUUCUCUAUAUCCUCAUCUGCCCAUCCCCAGAAGCAAUUUCGCAUCCAUGAAGCCUUCACUGCGGUAGAGCUUGGUCUUUCCAAGCACUCUCAUCCUGUCCAGGCCCUGCAGAAAACAUAUCGUCAUCUCAGGGGCCUCCCGCUGCAUUCAUUCAGCCAAGCACAGCCACUUCUCCUAAUCGGUUCAGACUACCCCCAUCUUCUUUCUCCAGUUGAACCUGUACACCUAGGUCCACCAGGGGGUCCUGCAGCUUUAAAUACUCGUCUUGGCUGGACUCUGCAAGGUCCUGCCAAAGUCCUGCUGGACCAGACCUCCACCUCUCAGUGUCUCCUUAUCAACACUCCUACUUCCUCUGCUGACCUUCUCAGUCACGUGUCCAGGUUGUGGCAGAUGGACGUUCUUCCCUAUCAAAAUGAGAAACUCAUCACCAGGUCCAAACAGGAUAAUACGGCCAUCAAACUGCUGGAGGAGAAGACGAUCAGAGUUCAAAUUGAUGAUGUCCAGAGAUACGCUACCCCUCUGUUGUGGAAGGAAGGUUUUCCUCCUCUCAAUGCCCCCAAGGAAGCCGUCCUCAGUCACCUACGAGGCACAGAGAAUCGUCUCGCCAAAGACCCAGUCAAGGCUGCGUCAUACUGCCAGGAAAUCAAGAAGCUGGUGGACUCAGGCUACAUUAAGAAGCUCACAUCAUCUGAAGAUCAGAGCAGAAAAUCAUGGUACAUCCCACAUCACAUGGUCCAUCACAAUGGCAAGGACCGCAUUGUUUUCAACUGCUCAUUCACCUUCCACAACACCAGCCUGAAUGAACACCUACUUCCAGGGCCAACCCUAGGUUCCAGUAUCCUCGGUGUCCUGCUCCGUUUCAGGCAGUAUCCCACUGCGGUGAGUAGCGACAUCAAAGGCAUGUUUCAUCAGGUCCGCCUCCUGUCAGAGGAUCAGCCUUUCCUCCGCUUCCUCUGGAGGGACAUGAACCGCAGCAAUAAGCCCGACAUCUACCAGUGGCAGGUGCUCCCUUUCGGCACCACCUGCAGUCCCUGCUGCGCAACCUUUGCCCUCCAAAGGCAUGUCAUUGACCACAGCAGUCCCGAUGAAGAUACUCGGCUCUCAGUAGAGAACUGUUUUUAUGUGGACAAUCUCCUCCAAAGCUUCUCAUCAGCUUCAGAAGCAAAGCAACUCCUCCUCAAACUUCAGACUUUGCUCCAAUCGGGUGGCUUUGAACUGCGGCAAUGGGCCACCAACGUUCCAGACAUCAUCAGUCACCUGCCACCUGAACUCACAUCCGAGAGCAUUGAUCUGUGGCUGUCAGUGGAAGGUGCAGAUCCACCAGAACGAACUCUCGGCCUCCACUGGCACUGCAAAACCGACACUCUCACCUAUCGCCUUCGCCACACAGAGCAACCUGAGCCCACAAUGCGCAACAUCUACCGAGUCCUAGCCCAACAAUAUGACCCCCUGGGGCUGCUCAUUCCCUACACAACCAGAGCCAAAAUCCUGGUGCAGAGCCUCUGGGGAAAGAAACGGGACUGGGAUGAUCCUCAUCUUCCAGAGGGUCUGCUCCAGCUGUGGCAAGCGUGGGUGAGUGAACUACCAUUACUUCCUAAUGUUACUAUCAAUCGUUGUUAUGUUCACUCAGACACCGACCUGCCAACUGCCUCCCAGAGCAUCCACAUCUUCUCAGAUGCAUCAGAGAGGGCCUAUGGAUCGGUUGCCUACCUGCGUACUGUCAGCGCCGAGGGUGAAGUCCAAGUGACAUUCCUAGCGGCCCGUUCACGUGUUGCCCCAGUCCGCCAACAGUCCAUACCGAGGCUGGAACUCUGCGCUGCUCACAUCGGAGCCCAGCUUGGUGCAGUCCUGAAACGAGAGCUCACAGUCUCCAUCUCCUCUAUCACCUACUGGACCGACUCCACCACUGUGUUGGCUUGGCUGCUGUCUCCUUCAUGCCGCUACAAGGUGUUUGUAGGUGCUAGAGUGGCGGAUAUCCAGGAGUUAACUGAGAGCAGCUCAUGGCGCUAUGUCCCCUCCAGUGAGAAUCCUGCUGACGAUAUAACUCGCGGACUGACCCUCUCACAGAUCCAGAGUCACAGCCGCUGGAGAUCCGAACAAGCCUUUCUUCAUGCCAAUGAGUCAGCCUGGCCAUCCAGUCCAGACGUCACCUACCCUGAGGGUUCAGCCGAGUUGCGCAAAGCCAAGUUCUGUGGCCUGAUCUCCACCCCCACCUAUUCACCUUUGCCUGAUGCUAGCCAGUUAAACAACUUCCAAGAGCUACUGAAAGCCACCGUCCGAGCAUGCCACGGGGCGGCCACUGACUCUAAACCCACAGCUGAGUCUUUCAAAGAAGCUGAACUCUCUCUCAUCAAACAAGUGCAACGUGACUGUUUUCCAGAGGAAUUUGCUCUCAUCUCCUCACAAAAGCCCAUUCCGUCCAGCAGUAGGCUCAUCACUUUGGCUCCAGAAUAUGACUCAGAAACUCAGUUAAUCCGUGUUGGAGGCCGACUAAGACGCUGUGAAUCCCUCAGCUCAGACACUUUGCAUCCCACUGUUCUAGACCCUCAUCAUGCCAUCACGAAGCUGAUCAUUGCAAACUAUGACAGCAAGCUCGCUCAUCCGGGCCCUGAAAGAGUCUUCUCUGAGCUGCGCAGAAGAUUCUGGAUCUUGCGAGGCAGAGAGGCCGUCCGCAAGCACCAACACCACUGUCCAGAGUGCCGCAAGUGGCGCAGCAAACCCAUCAUUCCCAAAAUGGCCGACCUCCCACCUUCCAGUUUAAGGUUACACUGA
ensembl:lncRNA